rnacentral:rRNA from 1 species
GACGAACGCUGGCGGCGUGCCUAAUACAUGCAAGUCGAACGAACUCUGGUAAUGAUUGGUGCUUGCAUCAUGAAUUACAUUUGAGUGAGUGGCGAACUGGUGAGUAACACGUGGGAAACCUGCCCAGAAGCGGGGGAUAACACCUGGAAACAGAUGCUAAUACCGCAUAACAACUUGGACCGCAUGGUCCGAGUUUGAAAGAUGGCUUCGGCUAUCACUUUUGGAUGGUCCCGCGGCGUAUUAGCUAGAUGGUGAGGUAACGGCUCACCAUGGCAAUGGUACGGAGCCGACCUGAGAGGGUAAUCGGCCACAUUGGGACUGAGACACGGCCCAAACUCCUACGGGAGGCAGCAGUAGGGAAUCUUCCACAAUGGACGAAAGUCUGAUGGAGCAACGCCGCGUGAGUGAAGAAGGGUUUCGGCUCGUAAAACUCUGUUGUUAAAGAAGAACAUAUCUGAGAGUAACUGUUCAGGUAUUGACGGUAUUUAACCAGAAAGCCACGGCUAACUACGUGCCAGCAGCCGCCGUAA